rnacentral:rRNA from 1 species
GCCAAAAACCUAGCUCUACUCAUCCCUAUGCAAUCCUUCCACCUCACACCUAAAACUAAAACAUUUUAACACUUUAGUAAAGGAGAUUGAAAAAUUUAUUGAAGCUAUAUAACCAGUACCGUAAGGGAAAGAUGAAAUAUGAAUGAAAAAUCUUUAAGCAAAAUAAAGUAGAGCUUUUCUCUCGUACCUUUUGCAUCAUGGUUCAACUAGUCUAACCAAGCAAAAAGCAUUAUAGUUUGACACCCCGAAACUAGGCGAGCUACUUCGAGGCAGCUUUAUAGAGCUAACCCGUCUCUGUGGCAAAAGAGUGGGAAGACCACCAAGUAGCGGCGACAAACCAACCGAGCCUAGUGAUAGCUGGUUACUCAAGAAAAGGAUUUAAGUCCAACCUAAAGUCCUCCAUUUAUACCAAAAAUACCCUGACUUUAGAGCAAAUCAAAUAAGGUACAGCCUAUUUGAAACAGGAUACAACCUCACCUGAUGGCUAAAAAUUUAUCUUCAACUUUAAGUUGGCCUAAAAGCAGCCAUCUUUCAAAAAGCGUCACAGCUUAGUCUUUAACUACCUUCAAUUCCAUAACCACAUUUUAACCCUCUUUCAAUACUGAGUAAUUCUAUACUAUUAUAGAAGAUUUUAUGUUGAAACUAGUAACAAGAAGUCAGACCUUCUCUUAAAUGCAAGCAUAAAUCAGAAAGGACUAACCACUGAUAAUUAACGUCAAUGACCACUAAUCAGCAACCUCCAAAGAAAAAUCUUAUUACCAUAAACGUUAACCUGACACAAGAGCAUUUCAAGAAAGAUUUAAAGAAAGAGAAGGAACUCGGCAAACAUUAACCCCGCCUGUUUACCAAAAACAUCGCCUCUUGAACAAAAAUAAGAGGUCCAGCCUGCCCAGUGACUAAUGUUCAACGGCCGCGGUAUCCUAACCGUGCAAAGGUAGCGUAAUCA